rnacentral:rRNA from 1 species
GCCGCGUGAGUGACGAAGGCCUUCGGAUUGUAAAGCUCUGUCUUCAGGGACGAAAAAAUGACGGUACCUUAGGAGGAAGCCACGGCUAACUACGUGCCAGCAGCCGCGGUAAUACGUAAGGUGGCCGAGCGGUUGUUCCGGAAUUAACUGGGCGUAAAGGGCGUGUAGGUGGCCAGAUAAGUCAGAUGUGAAACCCAUCGGCUCAACCGAUGGACUGCAUCUGAAACUGUCRGGCUUGAGUGCAGGAGAGGGGAGUGGAAUUCCCAGUGUAGCGGUGAAAUGCGUAGAUAUUGGGAGGAACACCAGUGGCGAAGGCGGCUCCCUGGCCUGUAACUGACACUGAGGCGCGAAAGCGUGGGGAGCAAACAGGAUUAGAUACCCUGGUAGUCCACGCCGUAAACGAUGAGUACUAGGUGUAAA